rnacentral:rRNA from 1 species
AACGAACGCUGGCGGCAUGCCUAACACAUGCAAGUCGAACGAGACCUUCGGGUCUAGUGGCGCACGGGUGCGUAACGCGUGGGAACCUGCCCUUAGGUUCGGAAUAACUCCCCGAAAGGGGUGCUAAUACCGGAUAAUGUCUUCGGACCAAAGAUUUAUCGCCUUUGGAUGGGCCUGCGUUGGAUUAGCUAGUUGGUAGGGUAAAAGCCUACCAAGGCGACGAUCCAUAGCUGGUCUGAGAGGAUGAUCAGCCACACUGGGACUGAGACACGGCCCAGACUCCUACGGGAGGCAGCAGUGGGGAAUAUUGGACAAUGGGCGAAAGCCUGAUACAGCAAUGCCGCGUGAGUGAUGAAGGCCUUAGGGUUGUAAAGCUCUUUUACCCGGGAUGAUAAUGACAGUACCGGGAGAAUAAGCUCCGGCUAACUCCGUG